UAGCCCGUUCCCCCUCGUCCUGUCACCAGGAACAUAUCAAGAUGUAUCAAGGCAGGGACAUAGGAGGGACAGCAAUAUGAGAAGUUCAAAGAUCUGAGCUCCAGUUGCCAGCACAGGGACUGGGGCCAACGGGGAUACACUGGGGAACACUGGGCUCUCCAGCUGUGCCACCUCCUAGGUCCAUGAUGGAAAUUAGUGACUGAAGCUCAAGGGGGCACACCUGAAGCAAAAACCCUGCUGCCCAUGCUGAGGAGGCAGGACAAGUCCAGUGUAGAGAUUACAUUGUAAUUAAAACUUAAUAACAAGUGGCAUUUAUCGAUGAGUUGUAUUAACCUUGUCUAAAGCCAUUUGGACAAAUUAAAGCUCCGUGAGGUAUUUCCCUGCCACAUGAAAAGCAGCAAGGCACAAAACAGAUCAAUAUCACUGGCCACCCUUUCAGGGUGCCACUUCACCUGCAUCCUCCUCCCCACUGCCUUCAGUCCCUAUGGCCACCACGGGGCUGGCCGGGUGGUUGGAGGGGGGACAAGUGGGCACCUUGAAAGGAAGGCUCAGGGUGGACAAGGGUGAUGAGGACUCAGAACAGUAGAAGCAGAUGAACUUUGGGUUUUGGGUUGGAUCACAUCGACUCUUCCUCUCCUCCAGCACUUUAUUUUUGCCAGAUGUCAGCAUGGCAGUCAGGGACAGAAAAGCUUCCCGCAAGUAGGAGCAAGGAAGCACACCAGCUGAAGAAAAACUGCCCCAAAUCCACAGCUUUGAUAAGCAGGGCUUGCAUCACUAGAAGCUUUUGUUGCUUUAAUUAUAGCUUUUAAUAUGGUCUGUAAAAGUGUUUUCUGAAUCCCACUAAGACUCUCAGUCUCCAUCGCACACAGGAGAGGCAAGAUCCAUGGGCAAAAUGGGAGCGGUGUGAAAGAAUAUUGCCUUUUAUUGUUCUGCUACUAUUUCUAACAUCAUUGAGCAUCUCUGGAUUUCACGCAAUGAAAGAGGGAGAUGAGUUUUCAAUGAUUUUUUUCAAGCUUCUCAUUCUUUUACGGAGUUUGAUCAAAUUGCAGCCACAGAGGAGGGACUUUGAUGCAGCUAUGUCUGGGGAGGAAAAUGCCUUUGUUUUUGCUGCAUGGUUAUACUUCCUAUUUGUAUUCAGAGUCACAAAUCCUCUGUCUCAGGACAAAAGUAAGUUCCUGAUGCUUUCCCCAUUCCCACACCUCAGUUUUGCCUGGUCUCCCUCGCAAAAGCAACACCAGUGUAAGAGGUUAAUUAUGAAGGGUGUCUAGCAAAAUCUGCCAUGCUGAUAAAGGCACAUGAAGCGGAAAACCCCACUAAAGUCUCAGGCCUCUCGUUUAUUUUGCAGGGUUGCAAAACACAAGAAUUGAGGAAAUGUGGUCCAGAGUAACUGAGAGGCAGAUGUGGAACCCCGGGAUGCCAGUGCUACAGACUCGCUUUUCAGGCGAGAACAAUACUUUAAAAUGAAAAAUUCAUUACCCAGAUCUGUGAAAAGCAAAUGAAGCUCAGCCUUUCCUAACCUUGACAUUUUCCAGACUGCUGGCCAAAUCCACGGGUAGGACACAGGCACGCCCCCCGCCCCCACCCUUCAAAGGGAUAGCCGGUGACAGGGAAUGGCUUUCAGAUGUGACUUAACUUCUCUGAACCGGUCAUGACACCACCCCGUCCCAGCACACAGAGCGCUGUGCAUCCACACCUCUAAUUGCCAGACCUGGAGGUAAAGCUUUGCUGCUCCGAGCACGCGUUCCCUGGAGACAGAGAGCAGAAAAGGAGUGGGUGAAAGCAGAGGGCAACCACAGUGAGUGCAUUCGGCAGAAGGCCAUUUGCAUGUCGCCAGUUGCCACCCCACGUAGCCACCCGGAGCUGUUUUUGCAGCCAGGUUCUGCUCGCUGCCUCGGGGGUGUUCUUCGCCCCUGUCCCCCCAGCUCUGCGUGCAACCUGAAGGUUUCUGCCAAAGGACCUUGGCGUGCGGGUCGCCUUUCAAAUGCUCGCUUCCCUGCUGGGUAGAGGCUCUGCAGAUGGUGAGGACGGAGGCUGUGAGCCUCUCGGCUCCAAAGCGCUCCAGUGAGUGGUAUUCCCCGAGCCCCGCUGAUGAAAGGCACAGAUGUGCCUGCAGAGGAGCGGCUCUCCGUGCACGCCGCGGUCCCCAGAGCCCUCUUCAGCUGGUUUGAUGUCUAAGUGGAAGGGAAGAAAAUAAGCUGACAGUGGGGUUACCACCCGGAUGAUUUGCUGAAUUGAUUAGCUGCUUCUUUCCAGGGCUCGCACCCAGACAAGCAGCAGCCUCGCUGGGGCUCGCCGGCCAAGUAAUGACCUGGGCGAGGAGCGCUCUGGAGAAGGACCGGCCGUAAUGAUGUGCUGCUUCCCUGGGCAAGAAACAAAGGAAAAGCCCGGGGAAAAUAACGCACAGGGAAGUAAACACCAGCGAGAACGAGGCAAGGGAAAUGCAGCUUGUGCGAGACAGAGCCAAAACAAGCACCCUCCAGCAGCAGCUGGUUUGGACACCAGUUAGUGUGCAAGGGGCUGGGCAGGCAAAGGAGGAGAGCCCAGCUGCAGGUGUAUGCACACCCCGUCUCUCUGUCUGUCUAUCUUUCUGUCUGGGGUGUGCAAAUGGGAUUGAGACAGGGCAGGGGUGCCGACCCCAGCAGCCGUAUCAGGGCUUGCUGGGCAUCACCCUCUGUUUUUGGGGGGCAGGCUCUGCUUUCACGGGUAGGAAGCACCCUGCUAUGGCCAGCAGGUAGCUGCACCACAGGCAGGUGGGUGGGUGAAGCUCCUCCUGGCCUGCCUGCUCUUGGGACCUGAAAGCGCCCUAAGCAAAGCUUGAGCUUGAGGUGCCUCUGGGCACAGAGGGGGCGGCCACCAGCUGGCCGAGGUGACAGGGGGACAGCUCAGCUAGGCACCGCAGAGGUGAUAAAAGGGAGAGUUUGGGGAGUGGGAAGACAUAGGAGAGACUCCAAAAGAUUGUGCUCAUUUGGAUCAGAUACUGAGCAUCUAAUGUGUAAGGGGAGCAAAUGGCCCAGCCUUCCUAAUCUUGUGCUCCUGCCUCCUCCUGAAACCCCAGAACAAUGCGGAUUAAGAGAGGGAGGGAGAGAAGGGUGCCGUGGAGCCUCAUCUCAUUGCUCUUUCCCAUCUGUGCUGUGUUACUCCUGCCAGAGGUUUUUAUUUGACCAAAGGAAAAAAAAAAAGAAAAAAAAAAAGGAAAAAAAAAAAGCUGGAAAUAAAACCCACACACUAUAUUCCCUCUGCAAGCACCCCACGCCUAGAAGUGCAGUCUGCUGCUCUCAGCGCCUCUAAUUAGCUAAGCAAGGCAAGUGCUCAUUAGCCCCACCUGGGUCACUGUGCAACGGGGAACGCAGAGCAUUAACCCCCACACGGCUGCCGAAUAAAGAGGCGGGGGGCAUGGCUGUGCUGGGGCUGGCUGUGCGGGCAGCCUGGCCCUGGAGAUGGGUGCCUUUGACAGCAGCUGUGCUGGGAGGGCUGUGGGCAUGGUGAACAUACUUUCCCUGGGUAGUGUCACGGGCUGGGGGGAAGAUUUGGGAGGGGAGAGAUGUGUUGCAGCAGUGCUAAGCACAGCGCUGUGAUUUCAGCAUCCCAGAGUGUUUCUGCAUGCGAACAGAGGGAGGCCCUGGCACGGUGGGGACAGCCACGGCAGCAAACUUCAGUUUGGCACUGAUCGGAUGCUUUGUAGCUCUAACUUCAGGGAGCCAGCUGCUGGCUUAAUAAUAAUCAUAAAACCUUCGAUACGUUUUUGUUAAUGUUGGGUCACAAGGGGUAAGUGAGCACCAGAACUACCCCCUGUGCUAUCACACAAGAGUUUCUCUCCGCCUAUGUCACAGCUCCUCUUGGAUGAGGCGCUUCCAGCUGAGCCCAGGGAGCGGGGUGCUGCACAUAUGUGCAAGACGAAUCAAUCACUGCCUCCGACAGCUCGUAGCCUUUAAGUAAAGGCAUUUGUACGUGAGGUUUACUCUGCCUGCCCAUUCCGAGUCAGUAGGAGAGCAGAAAUCAGCCUAUGGUUCCUCAUCCAGCAAAGGUCAUUAUUGUUUUUAGGAAAUUGGUGCUGAACCACAGAAGGCAUCUGUCUGGGAAAGGACAGGAGAGGAACGGGAGCAACUCCUGUGGCUGCAGACCAGAGGUGGUGAUGCGUGCUGAAUGGCAGCGAGUGCUGAAAACAUCACUGCUCUCCCUGGUACAAAGAAACAGCAUGGGGCAUGGCAGCUGCAGCAGAUGAGGAUGCAGGGAAAGGGUGGAGAGGGCUUAAAAUCCCUCAUGAGGGGUGAGAGAAGCGCUGCCUGCCUCUGUGUCCACCAGCCUGCAGGCAGGAGGAGGACAGGGAAAGGUAGUGAUAGAGUCUGGCGUGAGAGACCCAACCCGGGACUGGUAAUUAUACUGGGAAUACCAGCUAUAUGCUGUUCUGCCUCCCCUUCAACAUUUGCGAUGGGUGCUGAGGAGCCCGGGGGAUGCCCCUGAGUUCCCCGGGGUGGGAUCCACAAUCGGCUGGAAGUGCCCCAGCAAGGAACCAGCAAUGAGGCAGCGACAUCCCAAAGCACGGCUUUUGGGGGUGUAGAUCCACAGCACACAGCGAAGCAAUUCUGGCAGUGAUCAGUGUCGUGUCUGGCCGUUUGUCCCAGCACGUGCUGCCUCGCUCUGUAGUCUGCCUGCAGCAGCUUAGGGUGUUUAACAUGGACCUGUUAAUAAAACUGCAGGUAGCUGUAACUUAUGUUAGUGUCUUCAUUUCACAGACAGUGGUCUUGGGGCACACAGAGCACUUGUAUUAACGGUGUGGACUACAUAACCUGACAGGAUUAAAAAAGGGUUUAGCACUUACACUCUUGUCUUUUUUCCUCAGCUGGAUCAAAGGAAUUAAUCUGGCUGGUUCUGUUUUAUUUCAAGCCAUCCUUCCCUUUCUCUCUGCUGGUUAGUCUUCCCUAGCAUGGUCUUCAAAGUCUGGGUUGGGAAGGCUGCAGGGGAAUUCUGGCUGUCACUUUGGUUUAUAUGUAAUAUUGCUGUUGUAAUGGUAUCUGAAUGUUUUGCUAAAUGGAUUCUUGCUUGUUUUUGCUUUUAACCUGACUGCUGUAAUGCUGCUUCGCAACAACAGUGCCUGCCUCUCGUGGGGAAAGAAAAAUUAGUUGAGAAAAGCGCUUGCUCUGGAAAGGUGUGGGUAGAGUUGUGAUGGGCAUUUAGAAACCCUAUUUACAUCAGAAAGAGAGGGGAGGGCAAGGAAAGCAAAAGUGAAAUCUGCCUCUCUAACCAAAGAGGCUCCUCAGGAAAGCUUGGGCCAACCUUACCGGUGGCCCAAGCACCCCAGAUUCAGCAUCAGCUGGUAGGUGCACGUACAAAGCAGUGUGCUGAGCAGAAGGGUGAUUCAGGGGACCUGGGGAGCCAGCAGCACCCCACUUGGCCUUUGGCACCACUCAGCACACCCCAUCCCCUGUAGCACGUGUGAUAGGAGCAGCCCCACUGCCCCGCACCCCCAGGCGUGCCCCACCCUCACCAGACACAGGUGCUCCAGUUUCAGCUGUGUUUAUGCUGGGUGAGUUUAAUUGCACGUCCUGGAUUCAGCAAACCGGUAAAAGUGCAGCUUGAACUGGUUCAAGAGCAUCUACAUCAGGGAUCUGGAAAUAACUCAAUUUUGCUGUAUGCCAGGGAAAGUUUUCUCCAGGUGGGACGGGCUUCAAACCAAUGGCAUUGCUGGGAAUGUCAGCUCCCUGUAUUUACAGAGAAAUGGGACUGAGUCUCCCCAUCCUACCUAGAAUAAUAAUGUUUAGUGUAUAAAUAGCAUUUUAUAAUUUCAAAGCAAUAAACACUGAGAUGCCAUGGUAAUGAGAGCUGACAAGGCACUACCAUUAACUAAUUAAGCCUCGCAACUUCCCUGCGGUAUCUAAAUGUGAUGGUUCCCAUUUUAUAGACAAAGAAAAUCUAUCUGAAUUGAUUUACUCCAAGGCACAGAGCAAUCCAGAGAAAGAGCUGGAAUCGCAGCUCAGCACCGCCGAUGCCUGGAUGCUGGCUCUGUCCUCCGCGAGGCUCUGCCUUGGUUCCAGGCCGUGUAACCUCGCAUCCCCUUCUUAGCAGGAUUUAGAAAUGAAGUGUUUUUAAUUUUUGUUGACUGCUAUGGAAGGAGUGGGGCAUCCCUGCCUCCCUAGCCAAAUUCGGUAGCAACAAGCAGAGGUAGCGGUCAGGUUAGGGAUGGAUGCAGGCGAAGUUGCAGUAAUUUGGCAUCCAGGAGCUGCGCUCACCGCACACGUAGUGAGGCAGGAAAAGCAGCUGAUGGGUGGGCACCAAACACAGUGCUGGAGAGAGCUGCCUUGGCUUAAGCCAUCCCGUGUCCUGCCUUUCCAGCCCCCACAAGGGCUGCAGCAAUUGCUUUGCAGGUGCCCGCCCCCCGUGCAGUUUGCACAGCCUUAGCAGUUUGUAUAGCACUGGGCCUGGCCCAGAAACCUCCGUGGGAAGCAGCACGUCUGCAGCACUGGGGCUGAACGGGAGCCCUCUCGCUUUGCACAGGUCCCGAUGGGAGAAGACUGGCCGUGACAAAGGACAUUUCAGCAGCACUGCCAGAGCUGCUUCGAUAACUCAGCCCCCAUCCAAGAAGGUGUUGAGACAGAACCCAGCGGUUACAGGUUGCAAGGAAAUCAUUCCCUUAAUGCCCCUAAAGACGCACAGACUUUCUGCACCCUCUGCACCUCAUCCUGGGGUUUCUUUUCGUGCCCCUGGCUGGGUGUUCAGAGCACAGCUUUAGGGACCAGCACCGGAGCACACGGCACUUGUACCAGUGCCAUUGCUGAUCACGAUUACUACACCCGUUUGUGCUGUAGCACCACUGCCUGCCAAAUAGCUGCGGACUGCAGGAGUGGAGACAGCGGGGCUGGAGGGCCACAAAAGCACUUGGGUUUGUGUACCCCUGCACUGCCUGCUCCCCGUCCCGCUCUGUGGCCGCAGGAGCAGCCAGCACCCAGCUUUACCCCAUGCCAGAUAUCUGCAUGGGUGCCCUGCAGCAUCUGUGCACCCAGCCGACCCCAAAUAAACACGGCUGGAGCCCCCAGCGCUGCUCCUGGGGGAAGAUCUGGAGAGGUCCAGGUUCCCCAGCUUUAAAUCCAUUGCCACAGAUUAUCCUGCUCCUGUCGAUUGCUCUCCAGGGGACAAAACAUCAAGUUACAACCUGUGGUUUUCAGCCCCAAUGGAUUAAGAGCAGAAAAUGUGUUGAGACCUAAGGCUGAGAUCUCCGGGUUUGAUAUGCAGCUCAGCAAAGCAUACAGGGGAGCAGCCUCGGUGGAAGAUGCUUUGCCACAGCAGUGCUGGCCAAAUUCCCAGCAAGCAGAUGCUUUUCAACUACCUAAGAGAGACAUCGUAAGCCGAAAGUGGCACAAUGCUGCUAAUUUUCUGCCUAAACCUCCGGUGCUGUGUGACUGCUGUGACGCUCAGGGAAAGGGUGGCUGCUUGUCAGUAGCAAGUGGUAUUGCUCACACUUUCCAGCAGUUUGCUUAGCCCAAAGUACUGCUGGUGUGUCCUGAAGUAAUUGUCUGGGACACUGCAAGGAGCACCGAUGGCAGUAAGUGUAAGUGCUGCCUCCGAACCGGGCAGCAGGCACAGAGACCCCUUCCCACGUAGCACCUCCCGCAGCAUUUGCUGCUGCUCCCCUUCCCCUGGCUGCCGUGCAUCUUGUCUCAGCCUCCCGUGGGCCUCUGCUGUCCUUACCCAUAAAAUCGCAAGCAGAGGCUUAAAAUAAGCAAGAAAUCAGAAAUCCAGCAUGGUUUUCUUCUCUCUUUU